AUCACGCGGUACCGGCGGCUGGUGUCGGCGUCAGCCAGGGGCCUGCCAUACUCCGGCUUCUACAGCUUCUACUUCGACAGCAACAAUAUCCUCAACCUCAUGUACGACGGCCCGGAGAUCAGCAGCAACUACUGGCCGAACCCCUUCAGCAAGUGGUGGGAAAACGGCCGGACGGCGUACAACAGCACGCGCUACGGCAGCCUAGACGUGCGUGGCCGCUUCUCCGCCAGCGACAAUCUGCAGUUCGACGCCUCCGACAUGGGCGCCCACGGCGUCAUGCGGCGCCUCACGCUCGACUACGACGGGAACCUCCGCCUGUACAGCCUCGACGUCUCCGGCGCGGGAACGUGGCAAGUCACGUGGGCGGCCCUCUCAAAUCCCUGCGACGUGCACGGGAUCUGCGGCCGGUACGGACUGUGCACGCAGACGCAGGGGUUGGGCGGUGCCGGGGCGCCGGUGUGCUCGUGCCCGGAGGGGUUCGUCGUCGCCGAAGCCAGCGACUGGAGCAAGGGUUGCCGGCGCACAUUCGACGUGCGGUGCGGCGAGGACGUCUACUUCGCCAAGAUGCCAGGCGCGGACUACUCGGGCUUCGACCUCAACUACACCAAGGCCCUCACCUAUCACGAGUGCCGCCAGAUCUGCCUCGACGACUGCAACUGCGAGGCGUUCGGCUACAAGCACGGCGGCGGCGGCAAAUGCUACACUAAGAUCGCCCUCUGGAACGGCCGCCUUCCGGACAGCUAUCAGGUCAUCUACCUCAAGGUGCCACGCCGCGUCGGGAACCUGGACCCCUCCGUGCUGCACUUCGGCGGCCACGCGUGCACCGUGCUCGAGGUGAACGCCAGCAGCAACAGCUCCUCGUACUCGCACCUGCCGGCCGCACACAGCAAGCUCAACUUCGUCUACUUCUACUCCUUCCUGGCCGGGCUGUUCGUCAUGGAGGCCAUCUUCAUCGCCGCCGGGUAUCUGUUCGUGUUCCGAGCGGACACGGCGGCGCGGCGGAUCCGCGACCAAGGGUACAGCCUGGUGCUCGACCACUUCAAAAGGUUCACGUACGACGAGCUGUCGGCGGCGACCUGCGAGUUCAGCGAUGAGAUCGGGAGGAGCGCGUUGGGGGCUAUUUACAAGGGUGUCUUGGAUGACGGCCGGAGCGUCACAGUGACAAGGCUGGAGGAGGUGAUGCAGGCCGACGAGGUGUUCCGGUCGGAGUUGAGCGCCAUAGGGCGAAUCAACCACAUGAACCUCGUCAGGAUAUGGGGCUUCUGCUCCGAGCACUCGCACCGGCUCCUCGUCUCAGAGCACGUCGACAACGGCUCGCUCGACAAGGCCCUCUUCCUCCGCGGCGCGUCGUUGGGGUGGCACGCGAGGUACGGGAUCGCCGUCGGCGUCGCCAAGGGGCUGGCAUACCUCCACCACGAGUGCCUUGAGUGGAUCGUGCACUGCGACGUGAAGCCCGAGAACAUCAUGCUGGGCGCCGACCUGGAGCCCAAGAUCGCCGACUUCGGGCUCGCGGAGCUGCUGAGCCGCUCCCGGGUGCAGGGUACCAGGGGGUACAUCGCACCGGAGAUGGCGCUGAACCUUCCCAUAACGGGCAAGGCCGAUGUGUUCAGCUUCGGCGUCGUGCUGCUGGAGCUGCUCCGUGGGCAGAGGGUGUGCGACUGGGCGGUGGAUGGAGGAGAUGAGGAGGUGCUGCGCAUGGACUUCCGGCGGCGCGUCGCGCUGCUUAGGGAGGAGACGAGAGAUUUGCAGGAGGCGUGGCUGGAGGAGUUCGUCGACGCGCGGCUGCACGGCGAUUUCAGCUACCUGCAGGCAGCCACAAUGCUGGAGUUAGCGGUGUUGUGCGUGGACGACGAUCCGAGAAGGAGGCCUAGCAUGGACGCCGUCGUGCAAACGCUCCUCUCGACACAGGAUGUCAUGCCGACGUCCGUGCGUCAUGCCCAUGCGGCGUCUCCUGACCAA
rnacentral:rRNA from 1 species